rnacentral:rRNA from 1 species
AACGAACGCUGGCGGCAGGCCUAACACAUGCAAGUCGAGCGCUACCUUCGGGUGGAGCGGCGGACGGGUUAGUAACGCGUGGGAACGUGCCCUCCUCUACGGAAUAGCCAUUGGAAACGAUGAGUAAUACCGUAUACGCCCUUCGGGGGAAAGAUUUAUCGGAGAAGGAUCGGCCCGCGUUAGAUUAGAUAGUUGGUGGGGUAACGGCCUACCAAGUCUACGAUCUAUAGCUGGUUUGAGAGGAUGAUCAGCCACACUGGGACUGAGACACGGCCCAGACUCCUACGGGAGGCAGCAGUGGGGAAUCUUAGACAAUGGGGGCAACCCUGAUCUAGCCAUGCCGCGUGAGUGACGAAGGCCCUAGGGUCGUAAAGCUCUUUCGCCAGGGAUGAUAAUGACAGUACCUGGUAAAGAAACCCCGG